UUGGAGGGCAAGUCUGGUGCCAGCAGCCGCGGUAAUUCCAGCUCCAAUAGCGUAUAUUAAAGUUGUUGCAGUUAAAAAGCUCGUAGUUGAAUUUCGGGAUCAAGGAAUCGGCCAUGCCUCGGUAUGUACUGGUUUUAUUGGUUCUCACCUUCUAAAGAACCAUAAUGUCAUUUAUUUGGUGUUAUGGGGAAUUAGGACUGUUACCUUGAAAAAAUUAGAGUGUUUAAAGCAAGCUUACGCUUGAAUACAUUAGCAUGGAAUAAUGAAAUAGGACAUCCGAUUCUAUUUUGUUGGUUUCUAGGAUCGAUGUAAUGAUUAAUAGGGAUAGUUGGGGGCAUUAGUAUUCAAUUGUCAGAGGCGAAAUUCUUGGAUUUAUUGAAGACUAACUACUGCGAAAGCAUUUGCCAAGGAUGUUUUCAUUAAUCAAGAACGAAAGUUAGGGGAUCGAAGACGAUCAGAUACCGUCGUAGUCUUAACCAUAAACUAUGCCGACUAGGGAUCGGAUGAUGUUUAUUUUUUAGUGACUCAUUCGGCGCCUUACGGGAAAC
rnacentral:rRNA from 1 species